rnacentral:lncRNA from 1 species
CACCCAUGCUUGGGCCAGCGCACACCUGGGUAGUGUAUCUCACGCCUGGGCCAUGCGUCUCACAGGCCUGCAUGCUGGUGGACCAACUUGCGGGCCCCACUUGGCCGCAUGUUGUGGGUCCCCUCAGAAAUUAUAUCUCUGGGCUCCUCGUGACUUGCUCUUCGAGCUAGGCUUCUCCACAUCUAAAUUUUUCUCCUGU